rnacentral:ncRNA from 1 species
UCCGCGAGGAUUGGUUUGAAGGAAGCCGCUAGCAAAUUCGCGAGCUGAUGAACAAGAACAUCAUAUGAGGCGGAAAUUUAACAAGCCACCCAUUGUUAAAUUUCCUAAAUGUUCAGUUGUAAA